UGUCUCUGGACCUGCCUCUUGGUUAUCAUGU
rnacentral:piRNA from 1 species